rnacentral:rRNA from 1 species
GCUUUAUAGGUACGAUUUCUUAAUUUUAGAAGUAGUUAAUUAGGAUAUUGGACUUAUUUUGUUGGGGCGACAAGGAAAUAAAUUAACUUUCUUUUAUAAGAACACAGAUAAGUGAGAAUUGGAUCCAUUAUUUAUGAUUAAAAGAUUAAGU